rnacentral:rRNA from 1 species
CCUACGGGUGGCAGCAGUGGGGGAUAUUGCACAAUGGGGGGAACCCUGAUGCAGCGACGCCGCGUGGGUGAAGGAGCGUUUCGGCGCGUAAAGCCCUAUCGGCAGGGAAGAAGGAGGACGGUACCUGACUAAGAAGCCCCGGCUAACUACGUGCCAGCAGCCGCGGUAAUACGUAGGGGGCAAGCGUUAUCCGGAUUUACUGGGUGUAAAGGGGGCGCAGACGGCAGCGCAAGCCAGGAGUGAAAGCCCGGGGCCCAACCCCGGGACUGCUCUUGGAACUGCGCGGCUGGAGUGCAGGAGGGGCAGGCGGAAUUCCAGGUGUAGCGGUGAAAUGCGUAGAUAUCACGAAGAACUCCGAUUGCGAAGGCAGCUCACUGGACUGCAACUGACACUGAGGCUCGAAAGUGUGGGUAGCAAACAGGAUUAGAUACCCCAGUAGUC